AUUUCAAUACUGGAGGAGGGUCAGUUUUAUACCUAUGUAUGCAAGGAUUCACAAUCCAUCACCACGUCGGAUCUUUGCCACACACCAGGAUCCCAGGUGAUGAAAACGGAAGGACAAGGACAUUAUAAACUACGGCCUCAAUUUGCACUCGAUGUAGACCUUCAAGAGUUGAAAUCGGGACCAUGCAUGGGACACCAGGGCAGAACGGGAAACUUAAUCUUUGGAGGCACGUAGAAGGGACAAUAAUAAAGAUAAUCUGAUGGA